AAUUGGAUGACCAACCUGCUGUGGAUGUGUGUCCCCAUUUCGGCAUGCGUCGGCAUCCACGUCGAUUACAUGUGCGGAUCUUCCAGUCGCUGGACUGAGGUAGAUAAAUGCACAGCCCCACAAGUUCUCCUUGAGCAACAGACUUUUCCAGAACUGCUUUGCUGGGAACCAGGCUUGGUUUGAAAACAACAAAGACUCUGGGGACUUCCGAAGGAAGGGCUUUGGCAUUGUCUAAUGAUUUAGGCAGAGCUUUAUUUCACACUUCAUUUAGUUAGAUGAUUGGGACUGGAAAUGAAGAGUAGGGGAAACGUGCCAAUCUCUUUUAAAUGACUUACUGUGUGUGGUUUUUAUUGUCAUGUCCCCUUCUGGGUUCCAGUGCAAGUUCUGGCUGUUUUGUCAGACCAUCUCCUUAAUUUAUUAUAAUUAGUUGCUGCUGCUGCUGCUGCUGCUGUUAUUUUCCAGUUAGAAGAUGUGCCUUCACUACCAGGAUUGGCUAUAUAUGUAUUUUUUAACGAGUAAGCCAAUUGAACCUUGGUGGAUUAGAGAAGAGAGGCUUUCAUAAGAUCCUUAAAAGUACAAAAGAGAGGGGUAGCAAUGUACAGCCCUCUCCUCCGCUCAGAAGAGGUAAAACCCACAUAGGCACAUAGGGUGAAGGUCUAGUUUUACACUUUAUGAGAAAUCAAGUGAUGCACAUGUAUGUGUGUACCUGUCAGGAGGUGGAGUCAGGAGCAGGUCAGCAAUAUGUUACAGACUGUUUGGAUGCAGAUGAGUGGUGUGAGGCAUCAGCUGGGGAUGAAGGCUCAGAGCCAGGGGACUGAUGGUGGGACGAUGGUGAGUGGUCAGAGGGAGAAGAGGGAGGAGACUGGGAGGAGGAGGUGUCAGAAGCUGAAGAGGCAACUGGGUUUAGUGAGCAGGAAGACGCUUGGGCAGACAGCAGCCCUGUUUCAGAGGUAGGAGAGGAAGGGGGCCAGGAGGCCGAGAUGACAUAGGCUGCUGAAGAAUCCAGGGAGUCUCCUCCUGCUGCGACCAGCUCCCCUCCUGGCUGGUCUCCCAGAACAUGCAGAGAAGUGAAAAGAGCAGAGGAGAGAUUGGUUGUGAGCAGACACAGCCUCCGAUUGCUUGGGGGGGAACCUUGGAGAGGAGGGGACUUAGGUAGCUGUGGGAAGGUGAGGACCUUCAGUCCUCACAACUGCCUCAUUGGGGCAAGACCUACUGAGAAGAGUUGCCUGCACUGUUUUGGUUUCUUUGAAUAAAGAGCUAACUUAACAGGCACUGGGUGCUUUCUUGUUUUAUUGCGAGGAUAUGGGAACCACAUACCCACAGAGCUUCUGCUGAAAGUUGCUUGAGAAUUGUUCUGCCGCUGAACUGAGUGCACAGUUAGCUCAACGGUACAGCAUCUGCUUUGUGUGCAGAAGGUGCCAGGUCCUUUCCCUGCACUCCUGCCUGAAAAUCCUGGAGAGACACUGCCAGUCAGUGUGAACAAUACUGAACCACAUGGACCAAUGGUCUGACAUGGUACAAGGCAGCUUCCUUUGUGCUUUCUGGCUCUCAUCCUCCCAUGGCAGUCAAUCCACACACACCACAAUGGCAUCUUCUCCGAUUCCAUCGAGUCAAGAGUUUAAUAAUCUAGCAGAGAAGAGUAGGAUGCUCUUCAUCUAAUAAAAAAGGGAUAAUCACAAGCAGGAGUUGAAGAUUACACACUCCAUGAGCCUUGCUUGUUUAAUCGGCAGGUUUUGUAGUGUACAAUAAAGUUCGAUGCAGAGAGGCAUGUAGCUUUUACCAUUACUGCAUUCAGGCAGGUGACUAUGUAGUAAAAAAUUUAAAAAGCACACCUGCAAGGACAGCCUUGACGAGUAUAAGCAGAUUAGUAGCAAAGACCUUGGUUUGCCUCCUCUCCGCUUUAAAGGAGAUGUUGGAAAAUGGCAGUGCUCUGCCCUUGAAAGACCAAGAACCAAGUUCAUGCGAGGCAAUUUUAUGGUCAGAAACAAUGAAAGCUCUUCCAACUCUUCUUCCACCUUUUUUUUUUUUUUUUUUUUGCAGGAGAAUAAAUUCCUGGUCCAGAAGAUAUUAGUGAGCUUUGGCUGUGUUGAAGAAUUUGAGAUGGGAAGGGAAAAGAGAAAUGCUAAUGCUGAGAGGGUGGGUCUUCGUCCCAGAAUUAGGCCAGAUCUGUAUUUCCCCUUAUUUUUUUCCACGUAGUUCCAUGUUACAACCCCUUCCCCAUCCAGGACAGUCAGUUUGCCAGAUUUUGGAUAUGAGGCCUGCAGCUUGCAUGGGUGGGCAGGACCUGUCCAGAACCUUGAGAGGAUACUUCAAGGCUACAUUUUUUAAAAAAAUGACCAGUACAGAAUAGUUGCACCUAGAACUAAAGACCCCCCAAUUCUAGCCCCAGUGGUGGCUCCUCAUAGUGAUGGGAGUUUUUCCUGAAGUAACCAUGCAACCACAAUAUGUCCUCAUAUACAUUUAUAUAGCAAGAACAACCGCUUUCUAGGGUUAGGCUUAUUCUUCUUCCUCAUCAGCUCUAUAUGUUUUGCUGUAGUCUUUACCCAAGCAGGAUAUAUAUAUUUAUUUUUAAAAAUGUGAUUCUGGAGAUUCAAAAAUAAUCAGAUUCUGCUUUCUUAACCACCACAGGACACUCUCUUUAAUUACCUUCAGCGGAAAGCAAGCGAUGAGGUUCCUUAGCAACUGGAAAAGUCUCACCCUCCAUACUUGGAAAAAUGGCCAUCCAAGCUGUGACUAAAAUGCUCUGCUCCAUUGGAUAUAUGAGGUGUUUGUUGUGUGCACUGUUCUUUCAUGAGCAGAGCUGCCACAAUUUCUUGUAGGACAGGGAUGAAUUGUACGUUUAUCCAUUGAAAAUUCUAACACCUAUAUUCAUACAACUCUGUAAUGAAGUAGAUAUAUCUUUAUCUACUCCCACCACAAAUACGUUUAGGAAAUCUAGAAUGAAAAUCACUUGGGCUUUUCAAAACUUAUAAAAAGCAGAACAACGCCUCCCUAUUCUGGGCAAAGAAACGUUAGCAAAUUCACUUAGAUAAUGCAGAUGGUAUCCAGAGAGAAAAGUCCUGAUUGCACUUUAUUGUGGAACCAGAACAAAACAGUAUAUAACGUGAGGAGAAAUAAACAUUGUUUUUGUCUUUCUUAUUUCAGGCUUUGCACGUAGCAGGACAACAUUCAACCAAACAUACUGAGGAAAACCCCUCAGAACUACACAGCCAAUCAGAACUCAUGCUCCUUCAGCAAAGAUCCUACUGAAGUAAUCUCUUAAAUUACAAAGUGAAUGAUCCCUGCUGUUGCACUUCCAACAAGAAAUGCAUAAAAAAAUUCAGUAAUCAAUCUUAUCUUGUUUCCCUACUUUUGUUAGAAAGCCUUGAAAAGACAGCUUGGAAGCAAUAAACCUACAAACAA